GACAAUCCAUCAAAGAACUGGAAAGGAGGAACAGGAUACAUAUCAAAGGAUAUGGUUGUGAAAGGCUUACCUGGUCCUAGUGAUGAUACACUUAUCCUGGUAUGUGGGCCCCCUGGAAUGAUGAAGCACAUAUCUGGUGAUAAGGCUAAAGACUACUCACAGGGAGAGCUUACUGGCAUACUCAAAGAACUUGGAUAUACUGAGCAAAUGGUUUACAAAUUUUAAUAGAGCCAUUUAAGCAUGUUAAGAAGCCGCUUUCUCAUGAUGCCAAAUUUUCAAUAAUGUUCAAAAGAAAUAUGGAUGGAAACAACACAUCAAAAUAAUUGCAAAUGUUCAGAGACAAAAGAGUCAUUGUGAUUUGAAGGUUCAUGAUGUUUGUGAUUUCUUCAAACUUCAGAUUAGGUGCAUUAUGAUGUUUGUCCAAUGUUUAAACCCUGAUAUGCAAGAUCAACCAAACAGAAGUUGAGGUUCUAUGCAACUGUCUUCUGG
rnacentral:misc_RNA from 1 species